rnacentral:rRNA from 1 species
GAUGAACGCUGGCGGCGUGCCUAAUACAUGCAAGUCGAGCGAAUGGAUUAAGAGCUUGCUCUUAUGAAGUUAGCGGCGGACGGGUGAGUAACACGUGGGUAACCUGCCCAUAAGACUGGGAUAACUCCGGGAAACCGGGGCUAAUACCGGAUAACAUUUUGAACCGCAUGGUUCGAAAUUGAAAGGCGGCUUCGGCUGUCACUUAUGGAUGGACCCGCGUCGCAUUAGCUAGUUGGUGAGGUAACGGCUCACCAAGGCAACGAUGCGUAGCCGACCUGAGAGGGUGAUCGGCCACACGGGGACGGAGAGACGGCCCAGACUCCUACGGGAGGCAGCAGUAGGGAAUCUUCCGCAAUGGACGAAAGGCUGACGGAGCAACGCCGCGUGAGUGAUGAAGGCUUUCGGGUCGUAAAACUCUGUUGUUAGGGAAGAACAAGUGCUAGUUGAAUAAGCUGGCACCUUGACGGUACCUAACCAGAAAGCCACGGCUAACUACGUGCCAGCCGCCGCGGUAA